rnacentral:rRNA from 1 species
AUUGAACGCUGGCGGCAUGCCUAACACAUGCAAGUCGAACGGAGUGGCGGACGGGUGAGUAAUGCCUGGGAAACUGCCUGAUGGAGGGGGUCAACGUACGGAAACCGGCGCUAAUACCGCAUUCUAUCAGAUGAGCCUAGGUCGGAUUGGCUAUUUGGUGGGGUAUAGGCCUACCAAGGCGCUGAUUCGUAACUGGUCUGAGAGGAUGAUCGUUCCCUCUGGAACGGAAACACGGUCCAGACUCCUAGGGGUGGCAGCAGUGGGGAAUAUUGGACAAGGGGCGAAAGCCUGAUCCAGCCAUGCGGCGUGGGUGGAGAGGGGCUUCGGUUUGUAAAGCACUUUAAGUUGGGAGGCGUUACCAGCAGAAUAAGCACCGGCUAACUUCGUGCCAGCAGCCGCGGUAAUAC